rnacentral:lncRNA from 1 species
GUGUAAUAUUUUAUCUUUUUUUGUAAUCAAAAAUUUUUUGUAAUCGGACUUCAGUCCAAUUUUGUAAUCUUCGUUUCAAUGAAUGAAUAAAAGAAUUUUUCUAAGUACCAACUCUCUUUUUUGUGUUUGCAAUGUCGUAGCAUUACUAUUUAACUACCGAAUAUUGGUCAACAAGUCGAACGUACUUGUAGAAUUCCUCCGUU